rnacentral:rRNA from 1 species
AUUGAACGCUGGCGGCAGGCCUAACACAUGCAAGUCGAACGAGUGGCGGACGGGUGAGUAAUGUCUGGGAAACUGCCUGAUGGAGGGGGAUAAAUACUGGAAACGGUAGCUAAUACCGCAUACCAUCGGAUGUGCCCAUGUGGGAUUCGCUAGUAGGUGUGGUAACGGCUCACCUAGGCGACGAUCCCUAGCUGGUCUGAGAGGAUGACCAGCCACACUGGAACUGAGACACGGUCCAGACUCCUACGGGAGGCAGCAGUGGGGAAUAUUGCACAAUGGGCGCAAGCCUGAUGCAGCCAUGCCGCGUGUAGGAAGAAGGCCUUCGGGUUGUAAAGUACUUUCAGUGGGGAGGCGUUACCCGCAGAAGAAGCACCGGCUAACUCCGUGCCAGCAGCCGCGGUAAUGC